AGAGUCGAAGCCCCAAAGGGAGACACACGUGCUACAAUGGUCGGGACAAAGGGUCACGAUCCCGCAAGGGUGAGUGAACUCAAAAAACUCGCCCUCAAUUCAGAUUGUUGGUUGCAACUCACCUACAUGAAGCCGGAAUCACUAGUAAUCACCAGUUAGCCAUACAACGGUGAAUUC
rnacentral:rRNA from 1 species